GACGAACGCUGGCGGCGUGCUUAACACAUGCAAGUCGAACGGUGAAGCGCUUUCCUUUUUGGUUGGUGUGGAUGAGUGGCGAACGGGUGAGUAACACGUGAGUAACCUGCCCCCUUCUUCUGGAUAACCGCAUGAAAGUGUGGCUAAUACGGGAUAUUCUGCGCCUGCUGCAUGGUGGGUGUGGGAAAGAUUGUGCCUUUGGGUGUUUUCGGUGGGGGAUGGGCUCGCGGCCUAUCAGCUUGUUGGUGGGGUGAUGGCCUACCAAGGCGGUGACGGGUAGCCGGCCGGAGGGGGUGGACGGUCACACGGGGACUGAGACACGGCCCAGACUCCUACGGGAGGCAGCAGUGGGGAAUAUUGCACAAUGGGCGCAAGCCUGAUGCAGCGACGCCGCGUGAGGGAUGGAGGCCUUCGGGUUGUGAACCUCUUUCGCCAGUGAAGCAGGCCUGCUCCUUGUGGGUGGGUUGACGGUAGCUGGAUAAGAAGCGCCGGCUAACUACGUG
rnacentral:rRNA from 1 species